GAUGAACGCUGGCGGCGUGCCUAAUACAUGCAAGUCGAGCGAACAGAUGAGGAGCUUGCUCCUCUGACGUUAGCGGCGGACGGGUGAGUAACACGUGGAAAACCUACCUAUAAGACUGGGAUAACUACGGGAAACCGGAGCUAAUACCGGAUAAUAUAUUGAACCGCAUGGUUCAAUAGUGAAAGACGGUUUUGCUGUCACUUAUAGAUGGAUCCGCGCCGCAUUAGCUAGUUGGUAAGGUAACGGCUUACCAAGGCAACGAUGCGUAGCCGACCUGAGAGGGUGAUCGGCCACACUGGGACUGAGACACGGUCCAGACUCCUACGGGAGGCAGCAGUAGGGAAUCUGCCGCAAUGGGCGAAAGCCUGACGGAGCAACGCCGCGUGAGUGAUGAAGGUCUUCGGAUCGUAAAACUCUGUUAUUAGGGAAGAACAAAUGUGUAAGUAACUAUGCGCGUCUUGACGGUACCUAAUCAGAAAGCCACGGCUAACUACGUG
rnacentral:rRNA from 1 species